UCUAAUUCAUUCACGAUAGUGUUUCCGUCUUCUUCUGUUCUCUCUUCUUGCUCGGUGUGUUACAUAAUUCACUUCUCACUCCUCACACUCCUCAUCCUCCUCUAGUGUUCACAAUAUUUGUCAGGAUUGUAGCUUAUUCGCCACCAAGAGCAAAUGUGGGUGUUACUUAAUUUUUUUUUCAAUGGAUGGCUUUAGAAACAUUUGAGUUCUUCCCAGGUUUAAAAAAAAUCAACUGUUAAGGGUUUUUUUCCACAAUGACAGAGACCACCUGUCAGUGCUACUUUUAACAUUUGAAUUUAGAGUUAUUACAGACUAUGAUUACAGAGGUUUGAGAUGAGUUAUAGUUCCAUUAUUUCCGAUGGGGAAAAAUUAGUUGGUGUUCAACCUGAACGGCAACACUUUAUUUAGUAGGUUCACAGCCAGCAUCCAGUGUACUUUUCAAUCCGUCUGAAAGCAUAUUUCUGGAUAACCUAAGACAACUAACAACGUGUCCACUUCUAUCUUUUCCGGCCUAUUUUGGGUUCGCAGGGAUAUUUUGUUACACUUCCAUUGUUGCACAAUGACAUUUGACUUUUACUGCCUCUUGUUAAAGAUACCUCGGAAAUAAAGUUUAUUAGGCGCAAUCAGUUGUUUUGUCUUCGCUUGUACUGUGAGGCAAGACGGCUGCACCGCUUUAUUGUUUUGUUGAUGGCUUUCCAACCCCGUGGUUUGAAGAAUAUGCAAAAAGACACGUGCGGCUUAAGUCGUUCCAUUACUGCGUACAUCUGAGGAGUACUUUUAUUUGGAUGAGUUUUAUCUCGGUUAGGAAACACUUUGCCCACCAGAUCCAUCUCCCUUUUGUACAGUAAAUAGAGUCAGGAGGGUUUGUUUGGAGGGAUUACGUAACGCACACAUAAACAAAGGGGGCCUGUCAUACAUUUGGCUUCAUAUGCGGUUUAUUUGUUCCAGCCCGUGUUUGAGAAUGAACAGUUGCACGUGGCGUGCGCGCGCACACUACAGUCUAUUUCUCACGAGAAUUUUGUAGGAUUCCCAACUGAAAGUGAGCAUUUUCAUGAAUGUCUGGCCAAAGCAGUUCGAAAGGCUGGUCCACCUAAAAUAAUUUUUCCCAUUAAAAUAAUAAAAAUGUAUUGUAUUUGAUCUUAAAACAUUUAUUUAUUGUGGAGGGAGCAUAAGUGAUAUUUGAUUUUAAAUUUGUAAUUGUGUAAAAAAAAAAAGUGUAAAGUGACGCUAAAUAUUGUCAGUGUUCUCAUUGUUAUCAGUUUGUGCGUUCUUGUCUAUUAAAAAAAAAGCUUAGAUAUUUUUAUAUAUACUGUAUCUGUCGACUGCUGGCUUUUAGGUAUUUGACAAAGUGACGGGAGAGGAGCUUAUAACUGUGUGGGGCCAAAAGAAGGGGGGCUAUUGUGAUGAGCAUUACAUGUGUUGGCCAUGUCUACAUGAAGGGUUACUGCCCGCUCUGUGCACUGUGAUGGACACCUACCACCCCUAGCCCCCUUCAUCUUUUGAUAACUUGGGAGUUUGGGGGCCUCGGCUGGGAUGUCACAGAUUGUGUGGGUGCGUGUUCACUGUAGUACUCUGGCAAGUGUCCAUUCUUACAGUGGUUGCAUAGCAGCGCGCCAUUGUUAAUCGGGCCAUUUCCCACGACCACCAUCCCCCAUUCACACGUGCACGCAAGCACGCACGUUGGUUCACUCCCUCAACCCGUCUCGAUCACCCUGUCUGUGCCUGUGCCAUCUUUUGUCUUUGGUCGGAAAAUAGCUUCCACUUCCGAUGUCCAUUCUUUCCGAGUUAGUGACUCAAGCCCACGUGACACAUGGAAGUGGUCACCAUUUAGUCAGUCUAAUUAAAUUGGAAUGAACUAUUGAAAAUCAACGUGGGCCUUACGCAUCGGUAAGUUGAUUUCGAUUUUGUAAACGUACAUGUAAAAGUACAUAGUAAAUGAUACGGUUACAAAAAAA